UAUAUUGUUAUCUAUUAUACAGAAGAUCAAAAUGUGGACAUCUUUACAAAAGGUUUAUCAAUUGAAAAAUUCAACAAGUUUUAAACAUUGAUGAUUUGGGGUCACGGUCUUAAGCUAAGUUUUAUUUUUCUUUAUUUUUAUGUUUAUAUUGUUUGUUAAUGUUUUGUUGAAUAGAAUUGAAUAAUGUUUAUGUGAACAUUUAUUAAAGUAAAUUUAUUCUGUUUGUUGUAUGAUGGACAAAUUAGCACAAGAGUAUGUAAAGGAUUUAAAAAAGAAUCUUGAGGCUAAUCUAAGCUUGAGAGAAAAGUAGUAGACCUAAAGGUAGAGUUUUCCCAGAACAACCAGCCUUUGGGUUUUUUACCCUCCUUUUGCUUUUCUACCCAUAGCAUUGUGUACUUUGGACUACAGAACAACCAGAAUGGAUUACGAAAUCAAAGUCAAUCUUUCAUAAGAAUCUAUAUACAACUUGUUUUUGAGUGGAAGUAUGAGAUAUAAUAAUAAAUAUUUAUAGGUAGUUGUGCAUGUGGAUAUUAGUUAUAGUUAGUGAUGGUUAGUUACUAAUUAUUAGUUAGUUGUUAAACUAAUAUGAUGUAUAAAUACCAAGUGUGGUUUUUAGUUCAUUCGAUAGUCUCAUUUAACGUUGUUAACUGAGCCUAUUGAACCGAAUACCUAACUGAAUAGUUCGUUGAAUACCGAACUUUUUUUACAUUAUAUUAAAAAUAAACAUUAAAAAAAAUAAACAUGUCCAUCUUUGAAAAAUAAACAUGUCCAUCUUUGAAAAAUAAACAAUAAAAAACAUUGUUUAUAAUAUAUUUUCUUUUGUUAAGUCCAUCUUUAGUCAUCUUUUUUUCUUGUUGAUUAAGAACAAGCAUGUUAUCAUCCUAAAGCCACGACAAAAACUAAAACCUUAGAAACUAAAAAAUUAAUAUCUACUAUAUUAAUGAAAAAUUACAAAAAUAUACAUAAGUUAUGAAAUAUAUAAUAUAAAUUUAUAAUAAAAAGUUAUAUAAUAUAAGUUUAUAAUAUAAAUAUAAAAUAAUAAAAUAUAACAAAAAUUUAAACGAACCGAACCAUUCUUCGAACUUCAACCAAAGUUUGGUUUCGAUUCGUUUAAUUAAACGAAUCUAUUUUAAGGUUCGGGAUUGAUUCGUUUAAUAACCGAAUCGAAUCGAAUCGAACCGAACCCGAAACGAACAGAAUAGUUCGUCCGAACUUUUAUUUCAACUCUACUCUCAUUAGAUCUACAACAAUAUGAUGUUUUAAUUGCUCUUAAAUUUACUUCAUGUGGCGUGAAUUGUGUUUUCGACAUGAACCAAGCAAGAAAUGUUUCCAACAAAACUUCUGCCAGUUCGUUGACCGAAUUUGUUCAAAAAAUGCAGCAGAUUCUGAUCCAAUCGGAUGUUCCCACUCCUGCUAAGCAAUCUAAUUUUGAAGGAAGAUUACCGACUUUUGAAUAGAGGAAGAGAUUAUGUACCGCAAACUCCUUCAUAAGUCGGUAACCUUCCUCCAAAAUUAGAUUGCUUGUAUAAGUUGACCAAUUGUCCUAUUACAACCCUAAAUAACUUCAAGAGUAAUCGAAACAUCAUAUUGGUAAAGAUCUUUCUUCGUAACUUCUGCCACGAAAUGAUUACCCGUUACCAUACAUUUCAUACCGGUAUCGCCUUUGCCAUAAGAGAGGACGAUGCAUUAUGUUUAACAGGAGUGGGAACUUCCGAUUGGAUCAAAAUCUGUUGCAUUUUUAAACUAAUUCAGUCCACGAAAUGUCAGAAGUUUUGUUGGAAACAUUUCUUGCUUGGUUCACGCCAAAAGCAAAGGCAGAAUGGACAGUAACUUGUAUUUCCUCGGUGUCCACUUGAAACUACAACUCUAUCCCUAUUCCGCACGUGGUGAUGUUGAGGAGUCAUACUUACUUAAACUUCUUUCACUAAUAAAAUUAAACGAAGACCUUGAACUUGAUACUUCUGCAUUCCCAAUCUGGAUAUUUUAUUUACCUGGCAUUCUGGCUUUCCAUUUGAAUCGGUAGUCUUUGGAUGAUUUCUCACAUUUUCAAGAUNNN
rnacentral:lncRNA from 1 species